rnacentral:rRNA from 1 species
UGGGGAAUCUUGCACAAUGGGGGAAACCCUGAUGCAGCGACGCCGCGUGAACGAUGAAGCCCUUCGGGGUGUAAAGUUCUUUCGACAGGAACGAUAAUGACGGUACCUGGAGAAGAAGCUGCGGCUAACUACGUGCCAGCAGCCGCGGUAAUACAUAGGCAGCGAGCGUUGUUCGGAGUUACUGGGCGUAAAGAGUGCGUAGGCGGCGAGCCAAGUUUGGUGUGAAAUCUCCCGGCUUAACCGGGAGGGUGCGCCGAAAACUGGUUGGCUGGAGUAUGGGAGAGGAAAGCGGAAUUCCUGGUGUAGCGGUGAAAUGCGUAGAUAUCAGGAGGAACACCUGCGGUGUAGACAGCUUUCUGAACCAAAACUGACGCUGAGGCACGAAAGCGUGGGUAGCAAACA